UACAGAGGGUGCUAGCGUUGUUCGGAAUCAUUGGGCGUAAAGGGCGUGCAGGCGGUCUGUUAAGUUCAGGGUGAAAGCUCCCGGCUCAACUGGGAGAGGUCCUUGGAUACUGGCAGACUUGAGGGAGGUAGAGGAGAGUGGAAUUCCCGGUGUAGUGGUGAUAUGCGUAGAUAUCGGGAGGAACACCAGUGGCGAAGGCGGCUCUCUGGGCCUUUCCUGACGCUGAGACGCGAAAGCGUGGGAGCGAACCGG
rnacentral:rRNA from 1 species